ensembl:lncRNA
UCUAAGGCGUGUCUCAGGAGCCUCCCGUUGCAGUGCUAUUUCCUGGGAGGGCUGGGUCCACGUCAGAUCCCCUGGUGCUGACUGGUUUCACUAGUCAUCAUCAGCCCGAAGAAGCAAGGCCUCUGUUGGGUGGCACAGAGUGUGCUUAGGAGUGCUCUUGGGAGAAGAUGAGUGAGGGGAACCAGACAGGACAAGAGGAAUAAAGUUGAACAAGAAUUCGGGAGUGUUAUCUGGAGACUGUCCUCAGCCUAGUUCUCAGGGGAGCAUCGGAGCAUGACGGUACCACAGAACUGGCUCUCGUUUCAGCUCUUCAACCCUGUGUGUCUUCAGAUACCAUCCAGUGCUCCUGCCAAGGCCGCCAGUGACCUUCACAUUGAGAAAUCUGAUGGAUGUCUUUUCCUCUCAGCUGUGACCCUCUCAGCAGAUGUCACCUCUAGCCUUGAAAAUCUCUCCUGUGGCCUCAGUGACAGCUGCUCUCCGGGGUUCCCUUCUGCUUCCUAAACCUGUUCCUUUCGGACAUCCUCAUGGUUCUCCCUCUCAGAGCGUUUGUGUUCCCGAGUCCUGAGCUGGUCUCCUCUGUCUCUCUGCGUACCUCUCCUGGGACAGUUCCUGCACUUGUGUGGCUUUGGUUACCAUCUGCACUCAGAUUACUUCUAAACAGCUUUCCUGGGAAUUCCUACGUGGUCCAGUGGUUAAGACUCUGCGGCUCACUGCCAAGGCAAAGUUCAAUCGCUGGUCCCCACAGGCCAUGCGCUGUGGCUAAAUAAAUAAAUUAAAUGAACAGCUUUCCUUAGCUCAGCCACAGCUUCUGACUUGGAGAUCUGUGCAUCCCUUUGUGUACUCUUUGAGGCGCCUAAAUUCGCUAAAUCUGAACUAGAGUUCUCAGCUGUCUGACAAAACAUUCCUUCUCCAGCAUCUUCUGUCUCAGGGAGAGGUGCCAUCAUCCAUUCAAUCCCCAAGCUCAAAACCUUCUCUCUCACAUCCCCCACCUAACAUCCUCUGCAAUCUACCAGGUCCUACUGACUCUGUCUCUUGACUAUCUUGACUUAUUCAUUUCUCUUUGUUUCCUGGCUCCACCCUCAUCCAAGUUGCCAUUAUCUCUGGCUUGCAAUAGCCUCUGCACUGGUCUCCCCAGUCUCUACUUGUU